GAUCUUUGGGCUGAGGUGCUGACUGAUUUCCAAUUCUCUUCUUAGGAGGCAUAUUAUGUAAAUGGAAGAGAAGAGGAUUAGACUGAGAUAUUAACUUAAGAUUAUGCUCACUGGAAUGACAUGGAUACUGAAAGAAGAGAAACUGUUCCUAAAACAUCUUAUAACCCCCUACAUAUAAAUGUAGCACGCAACACACCCAUGUACAUGACUCUACUAGAUGCGACUUUCAGACUUCCUAGGACACUAUUGAACCUUAGGCUUU
rnacentral:lncRNA from 1 species